GUUACUAAAAGCCGGAUUCGCAGUAUCAUAAAUACACAUUAAUCCAUGUUACAUGUUAAAAAACACAAAGUAAAGUAGUGGUACAUAGUACCUCGGCUUUGCAACAUAUCUAAAAUAGUGGUACAUAUAUAUAUAUAGUUGAUAAUUUUAUUCAAAGAAAUCCUUAAAAUAAAUAUUAUAUAUGUCGUAAUGUGCAAAUCUGGAAACCCGACCGCUAGACGCGGUGAAAACACUAAGAGUCGUCACUAAUCUUUGUUUUAGGUGUGAUUGACUAUCUAUUGACUCGAUUCUAAUCGAUAAAAUCUUAAAUUGAUUUUAAGCCCGUCGAGAGAAUUUUAAACUGGUUUACAUAUUUUAAGAUUAGGUUCGGGAGUGCGGUUACGCCC
rnacentral:lncRNA from 1 species